AACGAACGCUGGCGGCAUGCCUAACACAUGCAAGUCGAACGAGACCUUCGGGUCUAGUGGCGCACGGGUGCGUAACGCGUGGGAACCUGCCCUUAGGUUCGGAAUAACUCCCCGAAAGGGGUGCUAAUACCGGAUAAUGUCUUCGGACCAAAGAUUUAUCGCCUUUGGAUGGGCCCGCGUUGGAUUAGCUAGUUGGUAGGGUAAAAGCCUACCAAGGCGACGAUCCAUAGCUGGUCUGAGAGGAUGAUCAGCCACACUGGGACUGAGACACGGCCCAGACUCCUACGCGAGGCAGCAGUGGGGAAUAUUGGACAAUGGGCGAAAGCAUGAUCCAGCAAUGCCGCGUGAGUGAUGAAGGCCUUAGGGUUGUAAAGCUCUUUUACCCGGGAUGAUAAUGACAGUACCGGGAGAAUAAGCUCCGGCUAACUCCGUG
rnacentral:rRNA from 1 species